AGUUGCCGAAGAAUGAGUUGAUGUUACGGAGGAAGCGGAAGGAUUCGUACGAUUAGAAACCGAAGGAACGACUGCUAGAAGGUGCGGUGUGGAUAGUUGCCGAAGAAUGAGUUGAUGUUACGGAGGAAGCGGAAGGAUUCGUACGAUUAGAAACCGAAGGAACGACUGCUAGAAGGUGUCAAAAAAGUCGUGAAUCCACGGACAUAUGCCGAUGCAUAUUAACAAUACUCACCAAUAAAUGAAGCUGGUGUGCUACCAUCUGCUCUAACCAGAAACUCCAACUUACCGCUGGUUGGUGUAGCAUUAUCCGCAUUAGUCCGUUUUGCUGCAGAAUUAACAUACGGAGAAGCAGAUGAAGCGUGGGCCGGCGAAGGAACGGAUGCUGGAAUAUAAUCGAAAGCAAAAGGGAUUAAUGUACCUUUUCCCACUGAUUACCUGGAUAAGCCAUAAAACUACCUGGACGUGGUGCACCACUUUUCGAGGACUUCGACGGCGGGAUCUGUCCCUUUUCUUUCAACACCCGAGAAUUCAUCGUUUUAAUUAUUUACUUGUUUUAAACACAGCCACUUGAGUCAAAAUUUUAGUCCGAAUGAUUUAACCCGGCUCGUUGGUUUUUCUACCCGCCUCAUGCCGGUGCUGUACGCGUACGCUUACUUGCUCUGU